GGCUCCGCCCGGCAUCGCAGCGCGUCCGUGGCCCUCCGCCCUCAUCCUCCCCCGCAAAUCUCGCCUCCUCAGCGCGAUUUCGAUCUGCUCGCCAUCAGCGCUUUCCUACGCCCACGCCAUCAGCGCUGCCCUCGCCCUCACCCCGCCAUUCUCGCCUCCUCACCCAACCUCCGCCCUCACCCUCACCACGCCAUCAGCCUAGACUCCUUCCACGAAUCCAACCUCUGUACGCCGCCGUCGAGAGAGCCUAACCUAACCUCCUUCCACGAAUCCAACUUCUGUCUGCCGCCACUGGGAGAGGCAUACCUCCCCACGUCACGGUCGCUGCGUAGGCGGGGGCAGGGGACGAGAAUCCCGUGGCUCGCCGCGAUCUCCGAAACGACCAUGGAGGCGGUGGCGGCUACUGCAGGGAACCUUUGACACUGGAGGAGGAGGCGCUCCGGAGCAACACGGACUGCGAGUCAGCCCUCGGGAUCCUGGUGGGCGACGGUGUGGUCUUCGUCAGCGAGAAGAAGUUGACCUCCUCCAUACCUCACGCUCUGCCAAAAAGAUGUACAAGGUCGACUCCCACCUAGCUGCCACCGAACCUACCUCCCCUCGCACCUCUAUCCCUGCCGCAGAUCUCGGCAUGCCGCCACCGAACCUCCCUCCCUCGCACCUCCGUCUCCGCCGCAGAUCUCGGUAAGCCGCCACCGAACCUCACUCCCCCCACACCUCCGUCCCUGCGUGUAGAUCUCAGCAUGCUGUCGCGCCCUGGGGAGUAGCCCCCGCACCUUCCUCCCUCCAAUCCGCACCUCCCCCCACAUGCCCCGCGCACCUAGCCUCCGCCCAAUACCUGGAUAUAGCCUCCACCACAUGCCCCGCACCUCCCUCGCACACCCAGCCUCUGUCCAGUCUACUCUACAGUGGCGGUCACGGCUCCCCCUUCCAUAGACGGCACACGCAGGCACAACUUUCUCCACCCAAUCCACGCCUCCCUCAUGGAAGGAAUACACGCUGAUGUCGAGAUGUAUGGGAUCCAUGUGGAAGUCGUGGAGGGGAAGCGAAAUCCAAGCCUCACCACUGGCCCCUUCCAUCCUCGGUGUCCUCUUACCAUCGACGGUGCCCUUCAACACACCAUCUGCUCAUGCUAUAUAUUAAUCCAAAGGGAGAACACAGGCAAGGCAGCAACUACAACUUCAUCCUCCUCACGUUUCUAAAAUCCAUUUUCCAUCUCCUAUUUUCAGUAGAGUUGAUUUUGCAAACCGAGAACUGUUUUCUUUCAUCAUAUAAUCCUCCACGUGGGCAGAAUAAAACUGAGAAGAGUUUGCCGCUGAUAUAUCAAGGCUCAAGUACCUGUUUUUGUUUGGUAAAGGAGGUAACCGAUCAAUCGUAUUUACAAUGUGACACCACAUCAAUCAUAAAGGAGGUAACCAAUUUUCCUAGACUGGCAUUUAUUUGUUUUUGUACCAACUUGCAGUACUGAAAAAAUCUUUAUUUUACUUGAAAGUGGCAUGCAUGUUCAAGUGUCACUGUAUUUAGAGAUUUGGUUAUGUAUAGUACAAAAGUUUACUUGAUUUCAAUACAUAAAACAUUGCAAUACAUAAACUCAGUGUGCUUGAUUAAUAUAGCUGUUCGCUGAAGCUUCAUUUCCAGUAUGCCAUUUCAAUUUAUGUGCUUGUUGUUCAAUGUCCAAUACUGCUAUAGUAGCUUCUCCAAGUUAUGACACUGUUAGGAAGAUGGUUCAACUUCUCUCGAAAUGAAGCUUCUGUCUUCCUAUGUAUAGACAAGUUGUUCAGUUAGGAGGUCUAGAUUCUCUUAAAAUGGUGCUAUCUACGAGUUAGGAGGUCUAGGAGCACACUGAAUGUUUUAGAGGUUGAUGAAAUCGUUGUUUUCCUAAAAAAGCAUUUUUUCUGCUUUGUUUGAAAUUGUUUGGGUUUUCCUCCCCAACUUUCAUAAUUACCUAUUUCUAUUGUAUGUUUGAUCAUUUGGACUUCUACUCCAUCCACAAUUUUGGUUUAUUCAGUGAGGAACUAUGUUUUUAACCACUCUAUAGUUUGUAUAGACAUGCAACAUUCAUCUCAGGGUCAAGAAAGAAGCUCAACUUGGCAUGCUUCCUGUUUAAAGCAAGGCAAGAAACAUCCCCGCCAGAUCUCUGUCGCCAAAGCAGGGCUGGUGAAGAAGUUGUGUUUCCCUCCCGGAUUGUCACUACUUUCAUAUUUGUUCAUUUAUGUUUGUUCCAAUUUAUGUUGGUUUUUUACAGUUACAGAAUAUGUUUGUUCCAGUUGAGUUCCAGUUUGAAAACUGGAACAACCACUAGCAGAUGCAAAGUUCACAAAGUAGCUUGUCAAAUAAUGUGCAUGAACUGGAACAAGCAACUUGUGCACGAAUGAGCAUUACUGGAACAAGUAGCUUGUGCAUGAACGAGUAAUACUGUAGAUGAUUGGACAUGUAUGUCUAUUUUAGAUUUUUAAUAUUUAAUGUUAUAUAUUCAGCUCAUACCAUACAUGAAUUUGCAUUUCUGUACUAUACUCACUUAAUGUCCUACCUGUUUUGUUAGCUUCAACUAUCCGCUUUAAACUGACAAAACCAGACCAAACAUAUGCAAAUCUCAUAUACCUGUGAAAGCAACAACUGAUUUGCCAGAUUGGUUAAUUAAACGUAACAAUAAAUAGCCCCGAUUAAAUGGCUUAUAAAUAUACUUGGAUCUGUUCAUUUUUCACAUAUCAGCUAUUAAUGAAGCCUUCACUGGGUUCAUUUUGUACUACUCCAUUACUUAUUUACAGUUACAAGUAUUCUAAGAAACUUAAUAUUUCAUCAUCAAAGUUGUAUUCAGACAGUUUCAUUUACAUUGCUCUGAUUUUUUGUACUAGGAGCUACUGACAAUGGAAAGCAACGAUUAGAGUAACUUGAUGAGUGAGGACUAUUCAUUCAGUUGCUUCGAUCAAUAAGUGAACUAAUGGAUGCAUGUUUCUUUUGAUAAGUGAGCUAACUACUUUAGUCACAAAGUUCGUGUUGAUUUCUAAACAUGGUAUGAUGGUUUUGUCAUCCUAUUCGAUUGAGUUUGGGAAAAAGCCUGCACAUUCUGAAAACAAACAGACUGCACAUUGUGUGGCUGAUAAGGUUGAGUGGGUAAAUAAGAUCAAAGCUAUUAUUUAGACAUACUGAAAAUAUAGUGAAGGAAGCGUAAGCAAUUUUUCUGCUAUAUUUAUGCAUUGUAUCCUUGUAAAAUUAUCAAUAUUGUUCUGACUUGUGGGGAAAGGUAUGAGAGUAUUCAUUUUUUUGCCUCUUUUCUGUUUGCAUUCCUUCUUCAGUAUAAUGUUUGUUAGAAUAACCAGGUGAAUUUACAAAUUUCAUAUCCAUAUACUUUCUUCGAUGACAAAUAUAAAUCUACCUAGGUUUGUCAUAACUCAUAGGUCAAUCAUUCUAACUUCAAUUGACAUUUUUUAUAAAAAGUAUCAUAAGGAAAAUAAUAUAUUAUCAUAAAAGUGACGUCCAUCUAUAUCAAAUUUUAGAUAUUGAUGGUGGUCAGAGUUAAAAAACAGUUUGCCUUAAGACAAACCAAGAUGAACUUGUAUUUACAAUCGAAGGAAAUAUUGCACAUUGCCUAGACAUUUAAUUUAUUAGAUAAAUUCUUUUGUUAGUUGUUCAACUUUGUACGUCUUAUAAGUCACAGGAACAAUGUUUAUCUAGAACUUCGGUCUCAAAUUAUACAGUAGUGUUCAGCCAUACCUGCCAUGUCACAAGAAAGAGAGAUAAAAAGUAUUUAAUAGUAGACCUAAUGAUGCUCAUUUGUAAUUGUAGAUAUUCGUAUAUCCUUUUUCUGCAACCUUGUGAAACAUGUGAUGGUUUGACUUGGAACAAACUUUGGGUCUGAUAUAGUAAAAUGCAAUGUAUGUGGAGGGAAGUAGUAGAACAAGACAGAACAAGUGCCAAAUAAGGUUAUAUAGUAGAAUACAAUGUGUGGAGGGAAAUAGUAGAACAACACAAAACAAGUGCCAAAUAAGGUUACAAGGUUUAUAGUAGCGAUUGCUUAGCUGCUACAACGACACUCAUAGAUUAGCCUGGCAUUUGCAAUGUCGCUCUUGUAUUUGCCAUAACCUCACUUAAGGUCACACAUUGCCUCUGGGACCUUGACCUCCGCUACUGUUGUCGCCUGGCCGCGUCGACUUCACCAAUGCCGGGGUGUCCAACCUCAUCAGCUUCACCGUCGUCGACUGCUCCCACACAACCGAGCUGUGGGUCCUGGUACCGGUCGCGCCCCGCCUCUGCUCCUUCUGCUUCAGCGAGUGGCAGACUAUCGAUACACUCGAUUUCAAUUGUUUUUUACGCUAUUUACUGUAUUGCAAUGGGACAAUGGAUGAUUAGGAUUUGUUUUUUAAGACUGGCCCAUGAUUUAUCGUCGUAUACUAUUUCUUUAAUAGAUUGUUCGCUACAUCUACUGAUCUACAUGUUCACAUGUUUCAACUUCUGUCAGCAUCCGUAGUUACUAUAUGAAUGCUCAUUCUGUGUCACCUUUUAAGUUUACAAAUGCUCUUUUCCAGGUCACAUAUGGAAAGUGAAGAACCCAAAUGAUUUCUUCACAGGAAGCUUGGACCAAUCUUCAACUCAUGGGGCGCUUCAUCCUCGGCCUCCUACGCAUGCACUUCUCCUGCUUCUCCUGCUGGUCAUCGCCCAAGGAUGAAUUGCUGCUCUUGACCAUAGGGAUUGGAGCAGCAUGUAGUUUAUACUUUAUCCUGGUUUUCUCUCUCGAGAUGUUGCAUGGUGUCAGUGUGUCAGAUGUGCCGUAACAGAUGACUCCAAAAUGGAUUGCAUGCUCUUCAAAUAGCUACAGAUAACUAUCUUCACAUAAAAUGGAGAGUACAAUGUUUAUAAAAGAAGGAAUAUGGAUAAGGAUCCAGAUUCUCCUAUAGCAUAUGAAGAGGCAAAGGAAAUGGCAAGCCAAAGCUGCACAAUUUCUGAUGAUCACUCGUUGUUACUGUUAUCCAUUAUCUCCUCAGAGGCAUUGCUUUUAAAUUCAACAGCAGACAUGGCAGGUGCAGGUCCUAUCCUAUCCAUUAUCUACCCCUGCAUGUGUGCCAGCUAUUCUACUCUAUGUUUCAAUAGUUUGGAAAUAAUUCAGAGCUAAGGUUUUCUGAUACAGCCUUUCAAGAUUUGGCACAUUGACAUAAUGACAUGGGUUGGUCACGGAUUGGAUGUCAAUUUUGCUCCCUGUACCUUGUAGAUUAUCGGUUAUGUCAAUUUUCGAAAUUUCUAUCGUGAUGGAUAACAUUUGAAUAAAACAUAGUU